GAUGAACGCUGGCGGCGUGCCUAAUACAUGCAAGUCGAGCGAACAGACGAGGAGCUUGCUCCUUUGACGUUAGCGGCGGACGGGUGAGUAACACGUGGGUAACCUACCUAUAAGACUGGGAUAACUUCGGGAAACCGGAGCUAAUACCGGAUAAUAUUUCGAACCGCAUGGUUCGAUAGUGAAAGAUGGCUUUGCUAUCACUUAUAGAUGGACCUGCGCCGUAUUAGCUAGUUGGUAAGGUAACGGCUUACCAAGGCAACGAUACGUAGCCGACCUGAGAGGGUGAUCGGCCACACUGGAACUGAGACACGGUCCAGACUCCUACGGGAGGCAGCAGUAGGGAAUCUUCCGCAAAGGGCGAAAGCCUGACGGAGCAACGCCGCGUGAGUGAUGAAGGUCUUCGGAUCGUAAAACUCUGUUAUUAGGGAAGAACAAACGUGUAAGUAACUGUGCACGUCUUGGCGGUACCUAAUCAGAAAGCCACGGCUAACUACGUG
rnacentral:rRNA from 1 species